AAGGCGGGUGUCAUGCGAGCGGCAUGAUGGCGAAGAGCUCCGUUUCUACCCACACAGAAACAUUCUAGAAACAACACCUUCAUGCCUCUGAUCCAAGUAGCAUCCUGGGUGAACCGUAUCAGAUUGAUUGCAAGAAUGUGAUGGGGUGCUGUUGGAGCUCGUGAUCUGCGGUUCAAGCUGCGGCUCUUCACAAACAGUGCAUUCUCGAACUAGCUGUGCAGCCUGGCACUUCACUAUCUUGAGGAAUAGACUGGAGGACAUCCUCCUUCAGGGACCAGCCCUGAGAUGACCCAGUUCCUCGCCAGUUUUGCCAUCUGAAGUGACGUGAGAGGCUGAGACAUCGGGACAGCAGGCGAUGUGCGCAUCUGUCGGAGGAAGGCCCCUGUACUUGAGCCAUCCCUCUCGCUCUCUGUCUUUUGAUGGUGAGUGGGAGCCUCUCAAUCCUUGAGCCAGGGGGCUUGGAGAAGUGAUGUGGAAGAUUGUAACAUUGGAACAGCGAGCUGCUGGUCUUCCGCUCACGUUUCAGGAGUGUUCUCUCUCUCUUCCUCACUGGAGAGAGAGAGUUUGUCUGACAUACCAAAGUGCUGGGUUAUGAACUGUGUGGGUUUUGUUGGACACUGGAUCAUGGUCUCUUCGAGGGCUUUGCUACUGCUUGC